GGAUGUAAGGGUGAUCUGGCUGCAGCAUAGGUCACUCCACUGAUAUCCAGAGCUGAGCCAGCUCAUCUGGCUGGUUAGGUGUUUCUCCCUCUCACUGCUCCAGGUAAAUGUGUCCCUCUUGAAGCUGCAAGCUCUUUUGAUUGAAGGGGAUGAAGUUCCCUCAGAGAAGAGCACCGUUUCUUUAGUCAGGCCUUCUAGAACCCUCAAACAAGCUCCCAAGGUCCAUCUGUAGAAGAAUGUAGGGUAGUCAAACUUCCAAGACUCCAGAAACAACUCAUUGUUAGAUGGUGCCUAUG
ensembl:misc_RNA 7SK 7SK RNA